UACGGGGGGGGGCAAGCGUUUGUUCGGAAUUACUGGGCGUAAAGGGCUCGUAGGUGGCCAACUAAGUCAGACGUGAAAUCCCUCGGCUUAACCGGGGAACUGCGUCUGAUACUGGAUGGCUUGAGUUCGGGAGAGGGAUGCGGAAUUCCAGGUGUAGCGGUGAAAUGCGUAGAUAUCGUAAGGAAGACCAGUGGCGAAGGCGGGUCUCUGGACAGUUCCUGACGCUGAGGCACGAAGGCCAGGGGAGCAAACGGG
rnacentral:rRNA from 1 species